rnacentral:lncRNA from 1 species
CUUAAACUCUCUUAGAUAAGAUUCAUUAUACAUGAUAUACUUACAUAUAUGUAUGCUUCUUACUUUUAACCUAUGGUUUUGUAAUCUAACCAACCAAUUAACACUUAUGGGAUAAAGAGAUUAGAGGCCCAAACUCAUAUAAUGCAUUAUACUAAACCAUUUUUCUUCUCUCUUAAUGACAAGAAAAAUCUUCCUCUCUCUUGUUCAUUACUCUUCUCGUCUUCAUUACUCUUUUCUCAAUCUCGGUUCAUGUUUACCAAUUUGAUGAUUAAUCGAAGAUUGGAUUCCAACAAGAUAGAGCAGAACGAAAAAUCCAGCACCAAAACAAAAAUCAAGAACAUCAGAGUUAGUCCUCUUUAAGAGAAAGAACAUAAAGACACUCAUAAAACUAAAUGAACUAUAAAUUUUUUAAGAAGCCAUAAUUUAAGGACCAACAUACCUAAACAUGGACUUGAUAGGGCAGAGAAUAGAGGCAAAUUAAUAGCCAAGUUUGCACAGUAAUAAUAAAUCAAUAUAACAAAACUAUGGCUUGAUGAUGAUGAUGAUGAUGAUGAUGAUGAGAAUGAUCAUAUGAUUUGCAUCUUGAGCUUGGUAUGAAGCUGUGGGAAGUUCAACAAAUCCUCUCUGAAUUGCACCUUUCUAGCUGAUCCCAUCAAACUGAUCUUCAUAUGUGCAACGAAACAGACCCUGAAGUAUUAAUAUGCAAGUCAUGUGAUCAUGAUCAUCGUCAUCAUCACAUCAUCAUUAACAUGAUAUUUGAGCUCUAUCACUAAUAACACAUAUCAAGAACCUGUAUACCAAAACUAUGUAAAAUACAACAUGUAUCACUUGAAGAAAUUGGAAUAUUCCAACAACCUAGAUAAAGCUCAAAAUUGACCCCACAAAACCUAAGAUGAUGAGAUGUUUCACACGGACAAAUAGAUACAGUUUCCAUAUUGGGAAAAUUACAAUAGAAGGCAAACAAUAGAAGGGUAAAGGUCAAAGCCUUAAGGUUUAGUUUUGAGUUUUUUCUUUUU